GACGAACGCUGGCGGCGUGCUUAACACAUGCAAGUCGAACGGAAAGGUCCUGCUUGCAGGGUACUCGAGUGGCGAACGGGUGAGUAACACGUGGGUGAUCUGCCCUGCACUUCGGGAUAAGCCUGGGAAACUGGGUCUAAUACCGGAUAGGAGCCAUUUUUAGUGUGAUGGUUGGAAAGUUUUUUCGGUGUAGGAUGAGCUCGCGGCCUAUCAGCUUGUUGGUGGGGUAAUGGCCUACCAAGGCGGCGACGGGUAGCCGGCCUGAGAGGGUGGACGGCCACAUUGGGACUGAGAUACGGCCCAGACUCCUACGGGAGGCAGCGGUGGGGAAUAUUGCACAAUGGGCGCAAGCCUGAUGCAGCGACGCCGCGUGGGGGAUGACGGCCUUCGGGUUGUAAACUCCUUUCGCUAGGGACGAAGCUUUUUGUGACGGUACCUAGAUAAGAAGCACCGGCUAACUACGUG
rnacentral:rRNA from 1 species